GAUGAACGCUAGCUACAGGCUUAACACAUGCAAGUCGAGGGGCAGCAUUAUCGAAGCUUGCUUUGAUAGAUGGCGACCGGCGCACGGGUGCGUAACACGUAUCCAAUCUACCCAUGGCUCAGGGAUAGCCUUUCGAAAGAAAGAUUAAUACCUGAUGGUCUCGUCUGGAGACAUCUCCUAUCGAGUAAAGAUUUAUCGGCGAUGGAUGAGGAUGCGUCUGAUUAGAUAGUAGGCGGGGUAACGGCCCACCUAGUCGACGAUCAGUAGGGGUUCUGAGAGGAAGGUCCCCCACAUUGGAACUGAGACACGGUCCAAACUCC
rnacentral:rRNA from 1 species